rnacentral:rRNA from 1 species
GACGAACGCUGGCGGCGUGCUUAACACAUGCAAGUCGAACGGAAAGGCCCUGCUUGCAGGGUACUCGAGUGGCGAACGGGUGAGUAACACGUGGGUGAUCUGCCCUGCACUUCGGGAUAAGCUUGGGAAACUGGGUCUAAUACCGGAUAGGAACCAUCUUUAGUGUGGUGGUUGGAAAGUUUUUUCGGUGUAGGAUGAGCUCGCGGCCUAUCAGCUUGUUGGUGGGGUAAUGGCCUACCAAGGCGGCGACGGGUAGCCGGCCUGAGAGGGUGUACGGCCACAUUGGGACUGAGAUACGGCCCAGACUCCUACGGGAGGCAGCAGUGGGGAAUAUUGCACAAUGGGCGAAAGCCUGAUGCAGCGACGCCGCGUGGGGGAUGAAGGCCUUCGGGUUGUAAACUCCUUUCGCUAGGGACGAAGCUUUGUUGUGACGGUACCUAGAUAAGAAGCACCGGCUAACUACGUG